CGUGGAGACAGGUGGUGCAUGGCUGUCGUCAGCUCGUGUCGUGAGAUGUUGGGUUAAGUCCCGCAACGAGCGCAACCCUCACCCCUAGUUGCCACCGGGUUAAGCCGAGCACUCAAGGGGAACUGCCAGCGUCAAGCUGGAGGAAGGCGGGGAUGACGUCAAGUCAUCAUGCCCCUUACGCCCUGGGCUACACACGUGCUACAAUGGCCAGUACAAAGGGACGCGAGACUGCGAAGUGGAGCUAAUCCCAAAAAGCUGGUCUAAGUUCAGAUUGCAGUCUGCAACUCGACUGCAUGAAGGAGGAAUCGCUAGUAAUCGCGUAUCAGCCCGGCGCGGUGAAUACGUUCCCGGGCCUUGUACACACCGCCCGUCACACCACGAAAGCUGUCUGUACUCGAAGUCGCUGAG
rnacentral:rRNA from 1 species